rnacentral:rRNA from 1 species
GUACACACCGCCCGUCGCUACUACCGAUUGAAUGGUUUAGUGAGAUCUUCGGAUUGGAGCCCUCGGGAGCAGCGAUGCUUCCUUGGGAAUUCGAGAAGUUGCUCUAACUGAAUUAUUUAGAGGAAGUAAAAGUCGUAACAA